CUCAACUCCCAUUCCAAUUCUACCUCUUGAAAGGAUGUGAAAUGGCAAGGAAUUGCACAGGGAAGUCAACCCAGGGAACUGUACGAGGAGCAGCCUCUCUCUCUAACCCUCAACAAAGCACCAGGGGAAAAGCAGCUGGGAUUCUGCAUGUUGUCCUUUGACUCGUGGUGAACUGGCACCGCUUUCAGAGGCGUUCCAACAGCGAGCACCUGAUUCUGCUGGGAUCUCAAAUCAAAGCGAAAUACCAUGGAUGCUGCAAACCUGAGAUUCAAAUGGAAAGUGUUGGAGAAACUCAGCAUCGGUAGACCCGGGGCGUCACCUGACAAAAGGAGCAGUGUCCCAAAAGCUUGUGAUUUUAGAUAAAAAUGUUGGCCUCUGACCUGGUGUCAUGUGCUUCAGGUAGCAUCUGUAGAGAGAGUGAGAAGGAAUUAGUGUUUCCAGCUCAGUGUAAUUUCAGCAGAACACAGCCCGUAUUUCUCACUUCACAGACGUUGCCCAAUGAGUGGAAAUUCUCCCAGAACAGGGCUGAUUGUUGGAUAAGCAGUCUGAUCACAUGGAUAGAAGGAUGAUUACUCAAAAACAACAAAGCAUAAUCUCACAACUCUCCUUUGGAGGCCGGUGUAAUACUCCCAGCUGAUGCUCCUAUCAGAGUAGGUUAUCUCUCACUGAAAUAUAAAUACACAAUGUCGCAGGUUCUGUUUCAAUGAUAAACAGAAGUUUAUCAAGUAAAAGACAUUAAGAUAAAAUAGAAUACACCAAACUAGAAUAACCCAUACUUAUAACUUUUACAGUAUGCAAAAGAACCCCUUGUACAGAGAUCAUACCAGUGGAACAACAUCUUUUCUUCCCUCGAAAGGCUGAAAGUAACGGAGAAUUUUAAUUCCUGGGCUGGAAAUGGGAUUUGUCCCUUCCUGGAUUCUCAUAUACCUGUGGUUAAAAUGUACCCCAUUCAUGUCAUUACCUCCACCAGCUGACCAUAACCUCAGAUCACAAUGGACAGAACAAACUUUCAACAUUAACCUGUGCUUUUAACAAGAGAACUGCGAAAGUCAAAGCAAAUUGACUACAGAGAUAAUUCAGUGAGUGUCUGUGUGAAUCUGUGGAAUGUUACACCUGGCAGAGUCAGGGAAUGUUCAAACAGGAAGGCGGACAAUCCAACCAUCUCCUGCAGUUGCUUGGUGUUUUAUCUUUCCUAGCAUAGACAGGAAUCGGGGAUUAAAAGUGACUGUUAACUCUGGUCUGUGUGCGUUAGUGGUGUGACAUGCCAGUGUAUGGACGAGAGUGGACUGAAGCUUGGAGCGUUUAGAACAGCCAAUUAACCCCUGCACUGCGGGUAACGGGACGUGGAGGGGAAACAUUCUCUCUCAUUCUAACUGCUGCCAGGCAGUCACUGAGGCAAGGAAUGAGAACAAAUGCAUUUCAACCAAACUUGCAAAAUCUCAGAAUUAACUGUCCAAACUCAAACAUCAACAUGACCAGUGACAGUGGUCCCCAGUUUUUGACAACCGGCUGUUCACAAACAACUCAGAGAACUGCCACUCCGAGAUUCCAUGGAGCACCAAUCAAUGCACUGACACAUUGGCUUUCAUUUUUGGAAGCCGCUGAUGCUGAUCUCAGAGGUCCACAUAGCAGGGAAGAAGGAAACAGCUCAGGGGAUCAACUUUGCCAGUGAAUCAAGACAAGCAGCUAAGUCCAGAGCUAAUGGGAACUGCAGAUGCUGGAGAAUCCAAGAUAACAAAGUGUGGAGCUGGAUGAACACAGCAGGCCGAGCAGCAUCUCAGGAGCACAAAAGCUGACGUUUCGGGCCUAGACCCUUCAUCAAUCAGAAGAGUCGGUUGAGAUGCAUCAUAAACACCGAUUCUGCUAAACCUGAACAAAUUUCAGGCCAGUCUUUCUGUCUGUAAGAGAUGUGGUAGUGGCUGACGCAGUGAGUAUAAAUGUUGGAUCAGAAGUGGGUUUUUGAAUCU